rnacentral:lncRNA from 1 species
UUUCUGUGUCAUUAACCAAACACAACUUUGAAAUCCUACCACUGCAAGAUUGUUGACUUUAUCCCACAACACUUAAUGGUGUUAACAUCAUGCUACAUCAGCUCCCUUAUAUUUACAUAAUGCGGCUUUAAUGUGACACUGGUUGUUUCAUUAUUGUGUCUUAAACGUGAACAUUUCUUCCUUCUGCUCUUUCUUCAUGUAACAUUUCACCUGCAGUCAGAGGAGAUUACUGAAAACAUCAAACAGCUCGUGCAGGUGAAACAAAGAGCAGAAGGCCUGAAGAAGCAGCUGGAGCCACAAACUCAUGAGGUUUGUUUUUACAUUUUUCUAUUCAUGAAUAGAAUAAAAUAUAAACAAAUCUAAAUCUAAGGGUCUAAAUAUAUCAUCCAUACAUGAUCUUGAGGCAGUCUACAACCAAACCUCAGUCAAUGUCAUGGUAAAUUUUCUGUGGGAGGCAGAGUUGUGGACUCUCAGGCAAAACUGUGCUGGAAAUAGUUUCAUUGGUAAAUUCCCAGAAAACAGGUGACGUGAACAUGAAAUGGGAGCUAACUCUUUGAAAUAGUACUACAGAAACUUUCUAAACAGACACACAGCUAGACCGAGCUCACAACACCAAAUAGACGGAGACACAGACAUUAUAUACACAAGAGGACAUCAGGGCAGAGAGGAGACACCUGGGGAACACAGCUGGACAUGAUGCACACCUGACAGGAGACUGAAAUAAAAUGGGAAACAUGAGAAACACACACUGAGACACACUGAGUGCAAAUGAGACAGAGAGACAUGACUGGGGACCAGAAAGGCAAAUAAGUAUUGAGACAAGACUGAGACACAAAUAACAAACAGAACUAGACACAAGAGGACAUCACACAGAGGGAGGGAUUAUUCUAACCUAAACACACUUAAAGCAUAAUAUAAAUGAAACCAACAUAAAAUAUUCAAACAUUAUAAAGUCCAGAGACCUUGAACCACUGUGUCACUGACUCAGGACCAUGACAGUCAAAGCAGAAACUUCACUUCUGGUGCUUGUGAUCAUGUAGAGGAUCAGCUCUGUUUCAGCUUCUCAUUAAACUAAAGCUGCUGCUUCACUUUACAUACAUGAUUUGUUGGCUUUGUGUGAUGGUGCUGCCAUCAUAGGCUGAUGGAGAGGAGUAAACUCACUUCUGUGUAA